GUGUCAGCCGCCGCGGUAAUACCAGCACCCCGAGUGGUCGGGAUGAUUAUUGGGCCUAAAGCAUCCGUAGCCGGUGUAACAAGUCCUCCGUUAAAUCCUCCUGCUUAACAGGUGGGCUGCGGAGGAUACUGUUACACUAGGAGGCGGGAGAGGCGAGGGGUAUUCCACGGGUAGGGGUAAAAUCCUCUGAUCCGUGGAGGACCACCAGUGGCGAAGGCGCCUCGCCAGAACGCGCUCGACGGUGAGGGAUGAAAGCUGGGGGAGCGAACCGGAUUAGAUACCCGGGUAGUCCCAGCCGUAAACGAUGUAGGCUCGGUGAUGGACUGGCUCCGAGCCAGUCCAGUGCCGCAGGGAAGCCGUUAAGCCUACCGCCUGGGGAGUACGGCCGCAAGGCUGAAACUCAAAGGAAUUGACGGGG
rnacentral:rRNA from 1 species